GCCGAUGUAGCUCAGUUGGUAGAGCAGCUGUUUCGUAAACAGCAGGUCGCCAGUUCAAUCCUGGCCGUCGGCU
rnacentral:tRNA from 4 species